GCCAUAUUUUAAAGAAACCGCUUUCAAGUGCCUUCCUGCAGCUUCCCAGGAGCAUGAGACAGAUU
rfam:Ailuropoda melanoleuca scaffold440_20, whole genome shotgun sequence.